GAUACAUAGGAAACCAAAUAACCUAGAGAAAACAAUACCCAUGAAUGAUUAGCAAAUUUCUUACAUAUAAAGGAAAUGAUUUAACUUCAAGAGACUAGAAUAAAUGAAAACAUAUUCAAAAUUGAAAACGUUAAUGGAAGCAUGAAAUCAGCUCUGUGCUGAAUGCCUCAGGGAAGGAAUGUGGCAGAGAACAGAAAACAAAAAUGGUGUUUCGCUCUGCUACCCAGGCUGAAGUGCAGUGGUGUCAUUAUUUCUCACUGCAGCCUCAAACUUCUGGCCUCCAGCGAUCCUCCUACCUCAGUCUCCAGACUGUCACUUUAGCAGUACUACUCUUCGGAUAUGCAAUCAACUGUUUGGAAAGAAGAGAUAAAAGUCAAAUUUUUACUAUACUAAAACAUAAGUCUCAAAAGAUGGAGUGGACAUACUUUACCCUAUUCCUCUCAUUAAGUACAGAUCAAAACCUCAGACAUUAUAUGUAAAAGAAACAUAAGAAGACUCUGAAAGUGGAGACAAGACUGGCUAGGGACCGUGGGACCAAAGAAUGACAGCAGUGUGUUUCCUGAGUUUCCCUUUUAUCUCAUAUAUCCUGGAUUGGGUGCUAAAGAAUCCAGCAACCCAGAAAUAUCAUCGGCUGCAGCUAAGAGAUUUUUCUCAUGAAAAGCCUGCUCUCUCUAACCAAAAGAGGACGAAAAGGGCGCCUAGCAAGACAGAAAACUUUUAGAUAAUAACAGCACAACUCCAGUCAAACAUUAAUGGAAAUGCAUAACGCAGUCUCCCUCCCAACCCCAUCAGCAAAGGCUAGACGGGAGCUUGGACUCCACCCUCAUUAGAUGGAAACAUGGUACCCAAAUUCCCCCACAUGAUAAUAUCAGAGAAGGUGGAGUAAGAAACCAAGACCUUCAUUCCUGUCCCAAGGUAACUCCUGUCACACCUUCGUAGUGUCAGUGGAGACCAUGCAGGCAAUCAAUCUACAUGCUGACCUGGCUGUUACAAGACACCCAGUUCCCUCCUUGCCAUGUUAGUGUCUGUAUUAGUCAGGGUUCUCUAGAGGCACAGAACGAAUAGGAUGAAUAUAUAAAAGAGAGUUUAUUAAGGAGUAUUAACUCACAUGAUCACAAGGUUCCACAAUAGGCCAUCUGCAAGCAAAGAGGCCAGUCUGAGUCCCAAAGCUGAAGAACUUGGAUUCUGAUGUUUGAGGACAGGAAGCAUUCAACACAGGAGAAAGAUGUAGGCUGGGAGGCUAAGCCAGUCUAGUCUCUCCACGUUCUUCUGCCCACUUUCUAUUCUGGCCGCACUGGCAGCUGAUUAGAUGGCACCCACCCAGAUUGACGGUGGGUCUGCCUCUCCCAGUACACUGCAUCAAAUACUAAUCUCCUUUGGCAGCACCCUCACAGACACACCCAGGAACAAUACUCUGCAUCCUUCAAUCCAAUCAAGUUGACAGUAUUAACCAUCACAGUGUCCAAAGAGAAUGAAUAGGAAAAAUAAAGGACAUUUAUGACCUCAAGCAAUAAUGAAGACUGCCUUGUCCUUCUGCCUAGUAUCAGUAGAGGUCAUGUGGUACAAAGUAACAAGGUACUUCUCCUCCUCCCAGAUAGGAUGAUGCCAUCAUAGACCUAGUGAGAGCCUAAACUCCCAUCCCUGCCGAUCAGUAACAAAGUACAACUUCCCCUUUGUGUAUCAGUGAAGGCCACACUUACCUGGCAGUAAUGAGGUAGCACUUCUGCCAGUGUGGUAUUAGAGGAGGCCUGCUGAAACAGAAGAUUUAAAUAAGAUCUGGAUUCUCAUAGCCUAAUACGCAAUAUGUCCAGAAUACAGUAGAAAUUUACUUAUCAUACCAAGAACCAGGACAAUCAAGUUGAAUGAGAAAAGACAAUCACUGCUCAACUGAAACGAAUCUCAGGGAUAUGCGAACCUGUAGCAAAGAAUCAAACACCUGUGUCAUUGGAGUCCCAUGAGAAGAUAAAGAAGGUGAGACUAAAACAGUACUUAAAACAAUGUCUGCAAAUUUACCAAUUUUGGCAAAAGGUACAAAUUACAGAUAUAAGAAGCUUAGUGUAAGCAUAAUAGAACUUGCGGCCCAUUUCUUUGCUGUCAAACUUUUCAUUAUCUCCUCAUUCAUGCAAAGAAGGAGGAGGUGAAGAAGAAAAAGAAAAAGAAGGAGAGCACAGAAGUAGGAGGAGGAAAAGGAGAUGAAGAAUAAGAAGCAGCAACAGUUUAGUGUACCUUAAACAGGAUGAACCCAACAAAUUCCAUGCCAAGACGCAUCAUAUCAUACCUAUGAAAACUAAAGCAU
rnacentral:lncRNA from 10 species